AAAUAAGUAAGGUAUAAGUGUAACAUUUUUAGUUAAUAGGUAUCUAAUAAUUUAAUUUUAAUAUUUGGUCGUGAGCAGUCUAAGUUAUGAACUGCCACAAAAAUCCAUUGAUUAACAAUUAUAAAUGAUUCAGCAACAACAGUCUUCGGAGCUCCGCCAGCCAGCCAACUUGCUGGACUUCUAUCUCGAAAACCUAGAAGCUGAAAAACAGUUACAGGCCAAAAACGAGUAGCAUGAUUUAUUCCCUGAUAUUACACGAUAAUUAUCAUUAAGUAAUUUAACUAUAACAACUAUUACUAUAAAGCAGUUCUCAUUGAUUUUGAUAGUGAGAAAAUUUCAGAACCUUUCAUGGAAUUUGGAGAUUUCAUACAUGCUGCUACCUUUCAAAUUAGCUCAUUAAUAUAGAGAUAGAUAGAUUUGGCCUAUAUAGAUACAAUGUGUAUAAAUAUAUCUUGAAACUAACAAGACUGGUUAUGAAAACGAUAUUGAACCCGCACGCAAACAUUACAGAUCAUCAGUGAUCUAUUUUCAGCCGGUAUGGAGACAUCAAUAACAUCAUUUUGUUGUCAUAGACCUGUCAUGGUGUUCAUCAUCACAUCAACAGCAAUGGUCAUCGAAAUCACCGAAAUGCCGUUGCGAACCAUGGAUGGAAUGGAAUACUGAUAAAUGUGUCGUCCCAGCAGCAAACGGAAUAAUAAUAUCAUUGAUACUUCGCCUGAACAUGGAGCAACAUCCAUUGCUGAACAGUGUUUUCUGAAUGAUUUCCAGAUCGGUUGGUUGAAAGUAAACUGUAUGCAGCGGCUUCUUGUAAACUUUAUCAGAUCGUACCUAUGUCGAACCUGUGGUUGAACAUCCUGCUCUUAAUUUAGUAUGUGAAUUCAUUUACCUUUAUACCCAAUCGACCUUGUUCUCUGUGCUAUGCGCCACCAAAAAUUGGAAUAAGACAGCAAUGUCGUUCGUUUGCAGAAUCUCCUCAUUCAAAAUUUGAACUUGCAGCUUAUGCUCGCUGUUUCUUUUAGCCAGAUAUCGCGUGGUGAGGUUUUAUUUUAUUUAUUUGUUUUAUUAAUGUUUGUAAAUUAAUAUUCGUCCACAAACAGAAGUAUUACAUACUAAUACUUAGUUACUUAAUACCUACUUAGUUUGGAGACCACUGUAAAUAAGUUGGACCACCUCGAAACUGAAAACUAGUUAUGGCCGAAAACAAAAACAUGAUAUAUUUUCUGAUCAUGUUUAAACUUUCGUCUUCCCUUAGAUCUACUUACACUCUUUCUGCAACCACCGGGUCAUCGGGCCAUCAUCAUUGCAUAGUUUCACAAUAAUAAUGUUAGUGAUGUCUCCAUACCUGCUGAGAACAGAUCACAAAAUUAAACUUACGUGACUGGGUUCCUCUUUAUGGAAUUUGCUCAUUUCAGGAAAGCAAUAGAGAUUCCAAUAAUUCAUACUAAUCUAUAACUAUUGAUUUGUUCAAGUUACAUUAGGAAUUAUACAGUUUUGAUAUGUGUUAUUCCCAUUGGUAGGUACUAUUGAUAUGAUUCUCGUCAUUUCUAUGAGCACUGCUUCAAUAUUGAAAGUUGCAAGCGGUCGGUGAGCCGACUUUUCUUAUGUCUAAUCGCACUUUUUCCGUAACUUCUGGGUGCUUAAAUAAUUUAAUAGCCCUAUCAUUCCCUGUGUAUCGGUGCAUGCAGAAUUCUUAAUUAUUCAUUAAAUUUGAGAAUAAUAAGAAUAGUUCCAUUCUUGCCAGAAGGUUUCUUAUACACAUGCGCUGUCCUAUGCCAAAUUGCAUGAAUAUGUCUGUGAUCACGAAUUUUUCAUCCCGAAUAAACCUUUCAGCCCUAAACUGUUCAAGCUCCAUAUAAUAUAUAUAAUAUAAUAUGUAUAUAAGGCCCGUUCAUGCCCUGUGUAUCAUAAGUUGGCAUUAUUACUUUGUGAAUAUGUUUCGCAAAUAAAUGACCUAAUUUAAAAGGUAAUGAAUGAGCAUGUGUGGAAGCUAGAAUUCCAUACAAACCUGGAAUAUAUUCAGCUUCGGACAUGCAGAAUUCUUAAUUAUUCAUUAAAUUUGAGAAUAAUAAGAAUAGUUCCAUUCUUGCCAGAAGGUUUCUUAUACACAUGCGCUGUCCUAUGCCAAAUUGCAUGAAUAUGUCUGUGAUCACGAAUUUUUCAUCCCGAAUAAACCUUUCAGCCCUAAACUGUUCAAGCUCCAUAUAAUAUAUAUAAUAUAAUAUGUAUAUAAGGCCCGUUCAUGCCCUGUGUAUCAUAAGUUGGCAUUAUUACUUUGUGAAUAUGUUUCGCAAAUAAAUGACCUAAUUUAAAAGGUAAUGAAUGAGCAUGUGUGGAAGCUAGAAUUCCAUACAAACCUGGAAUAUAUUCAGCUUCGGACAUGCAGAAUUCUUAAUUAUUCAUUUAAUUUGAGAAAAAUAAGAAUAGUUCAAUUCGUUGGCCAGAAGGUUUCCAAUACACAUGCGCUGUCCGAUACCGAAUGGCAUGGACAUGUCCGUGGUGGUAAAGGUUUCAAGGUUUAAUUCUAAAAUUUUGAAAAUGAUGUCACCAUGUUCUAUUAGUAUAUUCUAGUUCUAGUCUAAUUCCAAACAGUUUCUCACUUGUUUCAUCUUUGUGUUUGUGUGUUUCACUAAUAAAAUAAUUAUUGUAGUCUGGCACUAAACAUUUGAAGCAUUUGGAGCAUUUAUAUUUUAUUUAUUUAUAAAUAAAAAACGUGUACUUAGAUUGCAAGUCUGUAAAGUAUCAUCAUUACAUAGACUCAUAAUAAUGAUGUUAGUGAUGCCUCCAUCCCUGCGGAGAGGACGUCCCUUGAUUCAAUUCAAUGUACUUAAUUCCAUGUAUAUUUUACUUCAAACGAAUGAACCUCUCUGGCAUAAAUUGUUUAUCUCUGGAUUUUAGACAUUUCAUGAAUUAAUGAUAAUCUAAAACUACUUACUAAUCUGUUUACGGAAUUAUACUCAUGUGUUAUCCCCAAUGGUACUAUUGAUACGAUUCUCGUCAUUUCAAUGAGCGCCGCUUCAAUAUUGGAAGUUACAAGCGGUCGGUGUGUCGACUUCUCUUAGGUCUAAUCGCACUUUUUCCGCAUCUUCUGGGUGCUUAAAUAAUUUAAAAACCUUGUCAUUAUCUGUGUAUCUAUAGUUGGCAUUAUUAUUUUGUGAAUAUGUUUUGCAAAUGAAUGAGCUAAUUUGAAAGGUAGUGAAGCAUGUGUGAAACCCAAAACUAAAAUGUAUUCAGCUUCGGGCAUGCGGAAUUCUUAAUUAUUCAUUAAAUUUGAGAAUAAUAAGAAUAGUUCCAUUCUUGCCAGAAGGUUUCUUAUACACAUGCGCUGUCCUAUGCCAAAUUGCAUGAAUAUGUCUGUGAUUACGAAUUUUUCAUCCCGAAUAAACCUUUCAGCCCUAAACUGUUCGAGCUCCAUAUAAUAUAUAUAAUAUAAUAUGUAUAUAAGGCCCGUUCAUACCCUGUGUAUCAUAAGUUGGCAUUAUUACUUUGUGAAUAUGUUUCGCAAAUAAAUGACCUAAUUUAAAAGGUAAUGAAUGAGCAUGUGUGGAACCUAGAAUUCCAUACAAACCUGGAAUAUAUUCAGCUUCGGACAUGCAGAAUUCUUAAUUAUUCAUUAAAUUUGAGAAAAAUAAGAGUAGUUCCAUUCUUGACAGGAGGUUUCCAAUACACAUGCGCUGUCCGAUACCGAAUUGCACGAACAAGUCCGUGAUGGUAAGUUUUUUAUCUCGGAUAAAUCCAUCAGGCUUAAAAUGUUCUCGCUCUACCUCUACAUAGUACCUCUUGGUACUAUGUUUGGAUGUUAUUGUUCUCACCAGGUGCGACGACUUCUCUUAAUCUUCUCUUUUCUUUCUCCUCUCGCGAAUCUCGCAAAUUUUUUAUGGCUUGUCUAUUCCACGUAAAUAAUCGACAAUAUCUUAUAAAAUUCGAUCUCUCUGAAUCGAAUACCCGUUAAUCUAUUUUCAGCCGCCAGGUGGUCUUAAUGAAAAUCUAUUUUCAUUGAUCUUUUAAACCAACCCCACAGAUAAUUAACUCGUCGAGUACCGGUUUUGUAGACACAAUUAAAGAACAAUAGGUUGCGGUCACCGGUGACCGCUUGGUGUAUGUGUUUAUCUACACAUAUAAUAAUAAUGUUAUUUGUAUAUAUCAUACUGCUAUUUUGGUGCUCAUAUAAAUCUUUGAUCGGUCAUGAAUGCAUGAUAAUGUUUUGUUUCUUCUAAUUUGUUAUUUCAACAAAAUGUUGAGUAAUAUUAAUUGUUC